rnacentral:rRNA from 1 species
GUGGGGAAUAUUCCGCAAUGGACGAAAGUCUGACGGAGCAACGCCGCGUGAGUGAUGAAGGUUUUCGGACUGUAAAGCUCUGUUGUUUAGGACGAAAGUGCCUGUUGCAAAUAGUUACAGGUAUUGACGGUACUGAACGAGGAAGCCACGGCUAACUACGUGCCAGCAGCCGCGGUAAUACGUAGGUGGCAAGCGUUGUCCGGAAUUAUUGGGCGUAAAGAGCAUGUAGGCGGGAAUCUAAGUCUGUUGUGAAAAUGCGGGGCUCAACCCCGUAUUGCGAUGGAAACUGGGUUUCUUGAGUGCAGGAGAGGAAAGGGGAAUUCCCAGUGUAGCGGUGAAAUGCGUAGAUAUUGGGAGGAACACCAGUGGCGAAGGCGCCUUUCUGGACUGUGUCUGACGCUGAGAUGCGAAAGCCAGGGUAGCGAACGGGAUUAGAUACCCCGGUAGUC